UGAGGAAUAUUGGUCAAUGGGCGCAGGCCUGAACCAGCCAAGUAGCGUGAAGGAUGACUGCCCUAUGGGUUGUAAACUUCUUUUAUAAAGGAAUAAAGUCGGGUAUGUAUACCCGUUUGCAUGUACUUUAUGAAUAAGGAUCGGCUAACUCCGUGCCAGCAGCCGCGGUAAUACGGAGGAUCCGAGCGUUAUCCGGAUUUAUUGGGUUUAAAGGGAGCGUAGAUGGAUGUUUAAGUCAGUUGUGAAAGUUUGCGGCUCAACCGUAAAAUUGCAGUUGAUACUGGCAGUCUUGAGUACAGUAGAGGUAGGCGGAAUUCCCGGUGUAGCGGUGGAAUGCGUAGAUAUCGGGAGGAACACCAGUGGCGAAGGCGGCCUACUGGGCACCAACUGACGCUGAGGCUCGAAAGUGUGGGUAGCAAACAGGAUUAGAUACCCUGGUAGUCCACACCGUAAACGAUGAUUACUAGGUGUUGGAGGAUUGACCCCUUCAGUGCCGCAGUUAACACAAUAAGUAAUCCACCUGGGGAGUACGACCGCAAGGUUGAAACUCAAAGGAAUUGACGGGGGCCCGCACAAGCAGUGGAGUAUGUGGUUUAAUUCGACGCAACGCGAAGAACCUUACCAAGUCUUGACAUAUACAUGAAAGCCUAAGAGAUUAGGCCCCUCUUCGGAGCGUGUAUACAGGUGAUGCAUGGUUGUCGUCAGCUCGUGUCGUGAGAUGUUAGGUUAAGUCCUGCAACGAGCGCAACCCUCGUGAUUAGUUGCCUGAAGAAGGAACUCUAAUCAGACUGCCGUAGUUAAUACGGAGGAAGGUGAGGAUGAUGUCAAAUCAUCACGUCCCUUAUGUCUUGGGCUACACACGUACUACAAUGGGUGUUACAGAAAGAAGCGAAACCGCGAGGUGGAGCAAAACUCAGAAAAGCACCCCUAGUUCGGAUUGGAGGCUGCAACCCGCCUCCAUGAAGCUGGAAUUGCUAGUAAUCACAGGUCAGCAUACUGUGGUGAAUACGUUCCC
rnacentral:rRNA from 1 species